UACGAAGGGGGCUAGCGUUGUUCGGAUUUACUGGGCGUAAAGCGCACGUAGGCGGAUCGUUAAGUCGGGGGUGAAAUCCUGGAGCUCAACUCCAGAACUGCCUUCGAUACUGGCGAUCUUGAGUCCGGAAGAGGUGAGUGGAAUUCCGAGUGUAGAGGUGAAAUUCGUAGAUAUUCGGAAGAACACCAGUGGCGAAGGCGGCUCACUGGACUGGUAUUGACGCUGAGGCGCGAAAGCGUGGGGAGCAAACAGG
rnacentral:rRNA from 1 species